UACGUAGGGCGCGAGCGUUGUCCGGAAUUAUUGGGCGUAAAGAGCUCGUAGGCGGCCUGUCGCGUCGGUUGUGAAAGCCCGGGGCUUAACUCCGGGUCUGCAGUCGAUACGGGCAGGCUAGAGUUCGGUAGGGGAGAUCGGAAUUCCUGGUGUAGCGGUGAAAUGCGCAGAUAUCAGGAGGAACACCGGUGGCGAAGGCGGUUCUCUGGGCAUGAUCUGACGCUGAGGAGCGAAAGUGUGGGGAGCGAACAGG
rnacentral:rRNA from 1 species